rnacentral:rRNA from 1 species
AACACAUGCAAGUCGAGGGGCAUCACGAGGUAGCAAUACUUUGGUGGCGACCGGCAGACGGGUGAGUAACGCGUAUGCAACCUACCCUGUACAGGGGGAUANNNNNNNNNNNNNNNNNNNNNNNNNNNNNNNNNNNNNNNNNNNNNNNNNNNNNNNNNNNNAAGUUCCAACGGUACAAGAUGGGCAUGCGUGACAUUAGCUAGUUGGUAAGGUAACGGCUUACCAAGGCUACGAUGUCUAGGGGUUCUGAGAGGAUGAUCCCCCACACUGGUACUGAGACACGGACCAGACUCCUACGGGAGGCAGCAGUGAGGAAUAUUGGUCAAUGGGCGCAAGCCUGAACCAGCCAUCCCGCGUGCAGGAUGACGGCCCUAUGGGUUGUAAACUGCUUUUAUACGGGAGCAAUAAGGUCUACGAGUAGGCCGAUGAGAGUACCAUAGGAAUAAGCACCGGCUAACUCCGUGCCAGCAGCCGCGGUAAUACGGAGGGUGCAAGCGUUAUCCGGAUUUAUUGGGUUUAAAGGGUGCGUAGGCGGUCUAUUAAGUCAGCGGUGAAAGUUUUCAGCUUAACUGGAAGGGUGCCGUUGAUACUGUCAGGCUUGAAUUUAGUUGCUGUGGGUGGAAUGUGUGGUGUAGCGGUGAAAUGCAUAGAUAUCACACAGAAUAUCGAUUGCGAAGGCAGCUCACAAAGCUAAUAUUGACGCUGAUGCACGAAAGUGUGGGGAUCAAACAGGAUUAGAUACCCUGGUAGUCCACACUGUAAACGAUGAUAACUCGCUGUCGGCGAUACAUAGUCGGUGGCCAAGCGAAAGCGAUAAGUUAUCCACCUGGGGAGUACGACCGCAAGGUUGAAACUCAAAGGAAUUGACGGGGGCCCGCACAAGCGGAGGAACAUGUGGUUUAAUUCGAUGAUACGCGAGGAACCUUACCCGGGCUCGAACGGUGCAUGAAUAAUUCAGAGAUGGAUUAGUCCUUCGGGACAUGUAUCGAGGUGCUGCAUGGUUGUCGUCAGCUCGUGCCGUGAGGUGUCGGCUUAAGUGCCAUAACGAGCGCAACCCUUGUCGUUAGUUACCAUCAAGUAAUGUUGGGGACUCUAGCGAGACUGCCACCGUAAGGUGUGAGGAAGGGGGGGAUGACGUCAAAUCAGCACGGCCCUUACGUCCGGGGCGACACACGUGUUACAAUGGUAGGUACAGAGGGCCGCUAUCCAGCGAUGGAAUGCUAAUCUCAAAAACCUAUCUCAGUUCGGAUCGGAGUCUGCAACUCGACUCCGUGAAGUUGGAUUCGCUAGUAAUCGCGCAUCAGCCAUGGCGCGGUGAAUACGUUCCCGGGCCU